ensembl:lncRNA
AUUUGACACAAGCAGGAAUAAUGACCGCAAGAGAAUGAAGUAAUCCUUCCGCCCCACUCAGCAGCAGUGAGGCAGCAGCUGAAGGCUUGCCUCCAGUUUUGGGGCAUCACCCUUCAAGGAGGAGAAGAACGGCACAAUGGGCCUUUGAAAACAGGGCUGGAUAAAUUAGAGCUGUUUCGGACUGCUUUUCUCCAGAGAGUAAUAGAAAAGGGGGAAAAGCCUGCAUCUCAACUCAUGCAACUACUUACUGAAAAAGCCCAUCAGCGCUUCACAGUGACUUCAGGUACACAGAGAAAAUGCAGUGCUGUGAAGUCACGUCUCCAGCAGCAGAUGGGCAGGUGACGGCUGGAAGCCACCGAUGGAGG